rnacentral:rRNA from 1 species
AGUGAACGCUGGCGGUAGGCCUAACACAUGCAAGUCGAACGGCAGCACAGUAAGAGCUUGCUCUUACGGGUGGCGAGUGGCGGACGAGUGAGGAAUACAUCGGAAUCUACUUUUUCGUGGGGGAUAACGUAGGGAAACUUACGCUAAUACCGCAUACGACCUACGGGUGAAAGCAGGGGAUCUUCGGACCUUGCGCGAUUGAAUGAGCCGAUGACGGAUUAGCUAGUUGGCGGGGUAAAGGCCCACCAAGGCGACGAUCCGUAGCUGGUCUGAGAGGAUGAUCAGCCACACUGGAACUGAGACACGGUCCAGACUCCUACGGGAGGCAGCAGUGGGGAAUAUUGGACAAUGGGCGCAAGCCUGAUCCAGCCAUACCGCGUGGGUGAAGAAGGCCUUCGGGUUGUAAAGCCCUUUUGUUGGGAAAGAAAAGCAGCAGGUUAAUACCCCGCUGUUCUGACGGUACCCAAAGAAUAAGCACCGGCUAACUUCGUG